rnacentral:rRNA from 1 species
AGAGUUUGAUCAUGGCUCAGGAUGAAUGCUGGCGGCGUGCCUAAUACAUGCAAGUCGAGCGGCAGCGCGUCUAGUUCACUAGAUGGCGGCGAGCGGCGGACGGCUGAGUAACGCGUAGGAAUGUGCCCCAAAGUGAGGAAUAACUGCCCGAAAGGGUAGCUAAUGCCGCAUAUGGUCUUCGGAUUAAAGGAUUUAUCCGCUUUGGGAGCAGCCUGCGUACGAUUAGAUAGUUGGUGAGGUAAUGGCUCACCAAGUCGACGAUCGUUAGCUGGUCUGAGAGGAUGAUCAGCCAGACUGGAACUGAGACACGGUCCAGACUCCUACGGGAGGCAGCAGUAAGGAAUCUUCCACAAUGGGCGAAAGCCUGAUGGAGCAACGCCGCGUGCAGGAUGAAGGCCUUCGGGUUGUAAACUGCUUUAUGAGUGAAGAAUAUGACGGUAACUCAUGAAUAAGCACCGGCUAACUACGUG